CUGUGCUGUGAUGGGUAAGGUGCAAACCCAACCUUAUCUGCGUGGUAUGUCUCCACCUAUGAAUCGUUAGCCAGGAAGCCCUUCACUUUGUAGGGCUUUUUGAGCAGAAUCUGAUUGAUAAACAGAUAUCUCUGGACCAGAUGUUUCCCGUGGCUUUGAGGAAAGAGGCCAGCAAAUGAAGAGUUAUGAGCCAGUUUCCCUAAGAUGAAGCAGCAGCAGCAGAACAUCACUGCAGAACCUGUGAGGAAGCAGUCACACCACAACUGGAUCACAUGUCACACAGUAAAAUCCUGAUUCACUUCACUGCCUACUCACAGCUUUCACUAUUAAUGAAAAGAACAACGAACACUCACCUGGCCCGGCCUUUGAUGAACAUUCAUGUAGAAUGAGGCCCUAAGAAGCAGUUAUAAGGAAGAAAUGUCAUGAGAUCAUCUCCCUCUAGACCCAUAAUUAUCAUGUCCUCUAUGGAGAGAAGUUCGGAUCUUGAGGUUGUUAAAUAGUGGUAUCAUCAAAUGGAAGAGUGAACUUUCCUAAUUCCAGGAAAACAGUGGAGUAGGAACAGCUGAGCUCUGGGUUUCCUGUGUGUGAGCUCUUCUCCCUAGGCCAUAUCUGUCUGUAUGGAUGAGUUGAUCCCAGUCCUUGUGGACAAAACAAAAGGAAAAAUAAUAAUGUCCCAUUUAAAAGAAGUAGGAAAACAUUUUCACUCCCCAAAGGCAUCCUCUGCUUCCAAAACGUUCCUGAAAGCCUCCUUGCUUACUUGACAGUGUCUUCGGGGUCUCACCUGGAAAUUAACAACACUUUUGUUAAACUUAAGAAAAUGUCACCUCCUCCAAACACACUUGGGAAACAUAAUUUUUCUUAGAGGGCACAGACGUGAAGCAAUAUAAUCAGCAGAUAGUGAGCUGUGGGACUAAGGAUGUAACUCAGAUGGUAGAGUGCAUGCCUAGAAAGUAUUGUUUAUGUGGGACACCAUGCAGAAAUCAAACUUCACGUUAUAUGUACAGGUGAAGGAGAAGAAUCCCAAGUCAAUGGCAGACACAAGACCUGCAAUAAGAUCACAGAAGAAAACUGUCCCAAACUAAGGAAAGAGUCACCCAUACAAAUACAAGAAGCACACAGAACAC